ensembl:lncRNA
GUGGAGACAAAUACAAACAGGCCUCUACGGAGCAGGGCUGCUCGGGGCAGCUGGGCCGGCCGUGGGGACAGGGCCAGCGUUAGGCCUGGAAGGACAGGACUCAGACAAGUGAAGUGGGAGAACAGGGAGGAGCUGGGAACAGUUCAGGACGCGUUGAGCAGUCAGAGGUCAACCGACAGGGUGGCUGGCUGUGAUGAUCAUUUUCCUUCCGAGACUGCUUGUUUGGGUAAAGGUAAGCUUUGCUGUCUGAAAUGCCUGUUAAUUGAAGCCUGGGGACAAGAGCUUCCCAGGACUUUCCACUGCAGUGUAACCACUUGCUUCGUUAGGCGAGGUCUGGCUUCAUUCCGGCAGCCUCUCACCUACAGGAAGCUUCAUGACCCAUCCGCAAACCUGCCGGGACCCAGGCCAGCCCGGGGGGAACCCCGAAGAGAGCUGCAGAUUGCCACGGGCGGGAAAUCAAUCUUGGAAAUGCACUUUCCACAGCAGAAGAAUCUGACAGCGAAUGAAGCCUAGUCUGUGCAGCAUGCUGUGUCAGGAAUGCGGGGUUUCUUAGCCAUUUGACGUUAACCCUUUUGCAGCUGAUUACCCACCCUCCUGGUGGUCCCAAGACCUGGGCUUUUUAUUUGCUACCAAGAAUCAAGCAAGUCACUUCAUUCUCAGUUUCUCUCUCUCUCUCUCUCUUUUUUUUGUAUAUGUGUAUUUAUUGACAUAUAGUCAGUUUACAACAUUGUGUCAAUUUCUGGUGUACAGCAUCUCAGUUUCUCUUUAGACAUCCUCAAGGCCUUAGUUCAGCUCCACAUUGGCCACAAAGUUUCCUCCAGGCCAUCUUGAUUUCUGUUCUCCCAGAAAGUCACCCAACUAUUCUGCACAUUUCGGUAAGCAGCAUCCGGACUUGCAUGCUUUUUCCCUUCUGUGUGCACAGAGAGCCCUGUCUCUCCUGCCGACUGGGUUGCAAGCUCCUGGAGACAGAAACACUGACUUAUCCCUCCCUUAUUCCUCCUAUCAGCAAUUAUCAAAAAAGGUGUCAAUGGAUGAUUGUUCAAAUGCAAAGCAGAAGAGGACUCUCCUUUGGCCCUCUUUGCUUCUAAAGGUAAGAACUGGUGAGAUUUUAGAUCAUGCAAAUGUAAGCUGUUUUUCGACGGGGAACAACACCUGAGUUGGAGGUUGUUUAUCUCUGUGUGGUUCAUCCACUCGGGAGGAAGCCAUCACAAUAUUUAAACUGUUCACCGGAUUUCCAAUCAUCAGCUGACCUUUGGUCUAUCUCCUCCAAUCACUGGUACUUUUGUCCCCAAGAAAAGAUGCAGGAAAGAGAGGCCAGGCAGAAAAAUAAACAAAGUAAAAGAACACUGGGGCAGGAGUUAGGAGACCUAGUUUUUUAUUCUCGUUGCAUAGAAAAAGGCAGGACAGACUGUCCUGGUUCCCUGAAUGAGCCACACACUUUGCAUCGCCAAGUACCCCUCUAUUGCCUGGCAAACCCUACCUCCCUCUUGGAUUCUGGCUCAGAUAUAACCUCUUCUGUGAAGUUUAGCAACAGCCUCAAGCAGAAUUAAUCACAUCCUGUUACAUUUCUUUAGCCUCGUGUCAUAACUGGCUGUACACGCAUCUUCUUUACAUUAAAUUGUGAAAUUCAUUGAGUCACACAAGGAAGUCACUCAUGACAUUUAAAGAUUUUGUUUAGCUUGUGUUACUUGAUUGUGAGAAUAACAGAGUCAUAGAGAACUGAAGUGACCUAUUCAGAGCUCUGAACCGAAUCAGCCCUAAGGUAUGGGCACACCUUCUGACUUCUGGGUCCCAAAAGCCCAGUCACCUAGGUCUCCGAGAAGGAACGUCCAUCAAACAUGAACAGAGCAGGAAGAGCUGGAUGAGAAGUGGGUGGGUGCCUGUGUGCCUCUGAGCUCCCACUGCGAGGUCUAGGUGUGUUGUCCAGAGCCCCCCCGCCAGGACAUUCCGUGAGGUUCUCCUAAGGGAACCCUUGAAGACCCCUCUCCGCUUGGCCUUUUCUACAAUUUGAGGUAGAAACUCAUCAUCAGGAUCCAAUCUGGUUAAAAAUCCUUAGUUCUUCUGGGGAGGAGUUUCAUUGGAAAAGUUGAUUAUUCAGUUCAGAACAACAACUGGUCUGGUCUCCAUCCCCAUUGUAUUAACAGCCCGCCGGCCUCACCUGCAACUUCUACCUGGUGGUGGUGGUUUCUCACUCAGGAUUACUUUAGCUCCAGGAUCUCAGAUUGGAAGUUCCUCCUUCCUGAUCACAACACCCCAGAUUUCCACCUGGACUAUGUCCUCACACCUGCUCACACGCUCUGGGCUCCUCAUAACCUCCGGUCCUCCAACCCUCCUUCUGUCUUGGUCCACUGGCCUCACUUGGCCCCAGCACGCCAGCCACUUCACUUCUACCCAGGAGCUCUCCCCACCCUCCACCUAGCCCCGCCUUGAUGACAUCUGACUUCUAUUUUUCCCUCACCAGGUACCAUGUAUGGCUAGAGAAAGUCAUCAAACAUGAGACCAUGUUGAAUCCAUGCCUUUUAACCUCAACAGGACUUUGCUCUGUCUGGAUGUCCCAUCGCACCUUCACCUUUGGGUUUCAAACCAAACCUCUACUGGGGCAUGGAGGGAUAAAUUGGGAGCCCGGGGUUUGCAGAUACAUGCUACUGUGUAUAAAAUAGACAAACAACAAGGUCCUAUGUACAGCACAGGGAACUAUAUUCAAUAACUUGUAACAGCCUAUAAUGAAAAAGAAUAUGAAAAGGA